UAGGGAAUCUUCAGCAAUGGGGGGAACCCUGACCGAGCAACGCCGCGUGAGUGAAGAAGGUUUUCGGAUCGUAAAGCUCUGUUGUUAAGGAAGAACGAGUGUGAGAAUGGAAAGUUCAUGCUGUGACGGUACUUAACCAGAAAGGGACGGCUAACUACGUGCCAGCAGCCGCGGUAAUACGUAGGUCCCGAGCGUUGUCCGGAUUUAUUGGGCGUAAAGCGAGCGCAGGCGGUUAGAAAAGUCUGAAGUGAAAGGCAGUGGCUCAACCAUUGUAGGCUUUGGAAACUGUUUAACUUGAGUGCAGAAGGGGAGAGUGGAAUUCCAUGUGUAGCGGUGAAAUGCGUAGAUAUAUGGAGGAACACCGGUGGCGAAAGCGGCUCUCUGGUCUGUAACUGACGCUGAGGCUCGAAAGCGUGGGGAGCGAACAGG
rnacentral:rRNA from 2 species